AUUGAACGCUGGCGGCAGGCUUAACACAUGCAAGUCGAGCGGGGGAAGGUAGCUUGCUACCGGACCUAGCGGCGGACGGGUGAGUAAUGCUUAGGAAUCUGCCUAUUAGUGGGGGACAACAUCUCGAAAGGGAUGCUAAUACCGCAUACGUCCUACGGGAGAAAGCAGGGGAUCUUCGGACCUUGCGCUAAUAGAUGAGCCUAAGUCGGAUUAGCUAGUUGGUGGGGUAAAGGCCUACCAAGGCGACGAUCUGUAGCGGGUCUGAGAGGAUGAUCCGCCUCACUGGGACUGAGGCACGGCCCAGACUCCUACGGGAGGCAGCAGUGGGGAAUAUUGGACAAUGGGGGGAACCCUGAUCCAGCCAUGCCGCGUGUGUGAAGAAGGCCUUAUGGUUGUAAAGCACUUUAAGCGAGGAGGAGGCUACUUUAGUUAAUACCUAGAGAUAGUGGACGUUACUCGCAGAAUAAGCACCGGCUAACUCUGUGCCAGCAGCCGCCGUAA
rnacentral:rRNA from 1 species